UGCAGUGGUCUGGAACCAAAGCUGCAAUAUCUCCAAGGAGGCAGAAGGAGUAGCACAAGCAAAGCUGUGCAAGUUGGGAAUGACAGCCAUUUUCAAAAUCACAACAGUCACUUCCUGGGGCAUAACACCGUCUGAUAUCAUCUUACUGAGAGGGUGUCAGGUAAGACAUAAAUGCACGUCACUCCCAUCAUGGAGAACCAUUGAGGCAGAGCAUCCCUAUGGAAACUCAACCUGUGUUUUCAUGUCUCUAGUCUCUCUCUCUCCUCGCUUGCUCCCUCUCCCCCUUUUUCCCUCUCUCUCUAACAGUUUUAGCAGGAGAGGGAUCAGCGAGUCCCCUGCCCAGGACAGGGUGAGUAACUCACAUAAAAAGGGACAGGUUGCACAGCUUGGAGAAAGAGCUGGAAAACUGACACCCUCAGAGCAGGAGAGCCCAGCCCUGCUGGCACUCUGUGAAAGGCUACUUCUCUCCUCCCUGCAUUCAGAUGGAGACACACCAUCCAGCCCAAUAAAUGCCCCUUUGUGCUGGAUGGGUUUCCAUCAACUUAUGAGAUGUCUUUAAUGAGAGCUGGUUGUACUCUGCCCAGCCUCUGCCCAGCAACAGGCCUGCCAGCCUGGACACCAUAAGAGCCAGCAACAGGAGAUGGACGUUUUGGGGAGACUCCCCGGAGUUUUUAGCAUCUGCACAGUGCAGACAACAUCCACGGGCUGGACAGGCAGCUGGCCCCAUGGAGAGGCCAGUGGGUCACAUGCAGGGCCUGGCUCUUGGACCUGCCUUGAAUAUGCAGCUGGAGGCCCCAGUGGUCUGGUGGUUCGGCCCCCAAGCAGUUGUGGCCCCAGAACCAGGCCCUGGGGUCAGCCAGCUCCCAUCCCACUCCAUGUCAGACCAGGAGGACACACCUGCUUCCUACCUGCUCCUAAAGGGACAAGGGUCCUUUCCUUGGGCAGGCCAAUUCACCCCUCAAACCUCCACACCCUCUCCCUUAGAUGGGAGGUAGCAGUUGUGGAAUUGAAAUGGAAUAUCUCAGCUUCCAAAUUCUUCUGAUCAGCCUUAGCUGAAAGCAAGGAAAGAACCAGGGGUUAGCCAACCAAACAGGAUUCAAGAGAAACUUGAAAGAAGAGGCUGUGGGGACCAACAUUUUCAGACCGAGAAGCACAGCCCAGGCAUUACAGCAGGCGAGCAGCGGCCAGAGGGUAAAAGGCAAGUUAAAGUAAAACCAUCUUGCUCCCUCACCUCGUUGCCCUACAGUUGUUCUUAGCAAACAAGGUCCUCUGGGAACUCCUGCUUUUGGAUGACAUAGGCUUUACCAGGAUGAAGGUGGCCUUGCUAUCUGUUGGACCAAAUCUGCUCAUCAACUGUGAGAAAUGACCGAUGACAGGACAUCACCUGGUCAUCGGGAACCCAGCCAGCAUGGAAACUGUGUCGGCUGACCCUGGAACCUAUACAGGAUCCCUCUUUAGGACUCUUUUCUUCACGGACUUAUGCAAGUAAAAUAACUAAAAAUGGUG